GGAGCAAGGACUUCCCCCUUAGAUUAUGGGAAGAUGGUUAUUUUAUCACAGAACUAGUAGAAACAAUUUGAAGUGUUAUAUUCCUGUUAUUAUGGCAUAAAACUUGAAAAAAAUAUUCUCCUUAGACAGAAAUAAUAUUUCUGUAUCCGUAAAAUAUUUGGACUUUUUACUGUAGCAUGUAAAAAUCUUGAAUAAGCAAUAAACUUCCAUACUUUCUUUUCAGGUGGUUUUCCUCAGUGGGCUCAUGGCAUCACCCAAACCCACCAAGCUCAGCAUGGACUAGUUGUUUUGAAGACAGAUUUCUUCAUGCAAAAAGUCAUCACUUAUAUUAGAGUGGUGAAGUAACACAACAAUUGAGGGUAGCUGCAUAAUGAACACAGAAAGAGCUUCUGAAUAAAGUGUCCUGUUGCAUCA
rnacentral:lncRNA from 1 species